GCGAAGGUAGCUCAGUAGGUAGAGCACGGCCCUGAAAAGGCCGGUGUCGGCGGUUCGAGCCCGCCCCUUCGCAUCA
rnacentral:tRNA from 1 species